rnacentral:rRNA from 1 species
UACGUAGGGUGCAAGCGUUAAUCGGAAUUACUGGGCGUAAAGCGUGCGCAGGCGGUGAUGUAAGACAGAUGUGAAAUCCCCCGGGCUUAACCUGGGAACUGCAUUUGUGACUGCAUAGCUAGAGUACGGUAGAGGGGGAUGGAAUUCCUGGUGUAGCGGUGGAAUGCGCAGAUAUCAGGAAGAACACCCGUGGCGAAGGCGGCUCUCUGGAACGCAACUGACGCUGAGACGCGAAAAGCGUGGGGGAGCAAACAGG